UUCGUGUGUGUGUGUGUGUGUGUGUGUGUGUAUGUGUGUGCAUGCGUGUUUGUGUGUUUAUGUGUCCCUUUUUGGCACGCACGAUUGACUUUUGCAAUUGUUGUUUUUCGUGUCGUUUCGUUUUUUCUUGUACUUUUAGUUGCUGUCACUUUGCAUUUAGCUGGCAUUUAAUUUGUUAACAACUUAUUC